UACGAAGGGUGCAAGCGUUACUCGGAAUUACUGGGCGUAAAGCGUUCGUAGGUGGUUUGUUAAGUCUGAUGUGAAAGCCCUGGGCUCAACCUGGGAAUUGCAUUGGAUACUGGCAGGCUAGAGUGCGGUAGAGGAUGGCGGAAUUCCCGGUGUAGCAGUGAAAUGCGUAGAGAUCGGGAGGAACAGCUGUGGCGAAGGCGGCCAUCUGGACCAGCACUGACACUGAGGCACGAAAGCGUGGGGAGCAAACAGG
rnacentral:rRNA from 1 species